UACGAAGGGGGGCUAGCGUUGUUCGGAAUUACUGGGCGUAAAGCGCACGUAGGCGGAUAUUUAAGUCAGGGGGUGAAAUCCCCAGAGCUCAACUCUGGAACUGCCUUUGAUACUGGGGUAUCUUGAGUAUGGAAGAGGUAAGUGGAAUUCCGAGUGUAGAGGUGAAAUUCGUAGAUAUUCGGAGGAACACCAGUGGCGAAGGCGGCUUACUGGUCCAUUUACUGACGCUGAGGUGCGAAAGCGUGGAGCAAACAGG
rnacentral:rRNA from 1 species